CAACAGUGUGUGGAUCCAUUUGCAGCUUUAUUAAACACAGCAGUAGUACAGACAAGGGCAGAGCAGUACCGUAAACAGGGACAGGCAAGGAUCGAGGCGGGCAGCAGAGAAUCAGAGUCAGGUCACAGGCAAGGAUCGAGACAGGCGGCAAACAAACACAGUCCAGGGUACAGGCAAGGUUCCGGGCAGGCGGCAAUGGGUUCACGAGAGAUAAACAGUCCAGGUAACAACAAGAUAACAGUCCACAGAAUAACGCUCAGAAAUGAUCACCAUAGCAAAUCAAGACUUCGCGAAGAUGUGGUGUGUAUGCGUGUCUUAAAUAGUGUGCGUGUGAUGCAGUUCAGGUGUGUGUGCAAUCAGUCCCAGGAAUGAGGGCCUAUGGGAAAUAAGGUCCGAAUGGUGGAAAAUCAGUAUUCCGGUGAUGGCUCCCUCCGGCGGUCCAGAGGAUGAACCGUGGGAGCCAUAUUCAUGACAAUCUGCUUACCCCCAGGGAAUCCAAGAGAUUGUGUUCCCAUUGACAUGCAUUAUACAACUGACAGACGGCAACGGUUGGAGUUAAAAAUCAUCAUUUGUGUUCUACUGAAGAAACAAAGUCAUCUACAUCUUGGAUGCCCUGGGGAUGGGUCCUUCAGAUGAGACGUUAAACCGAGGUCCUGACUCUCUGUGGUCGUUAAAAACCCCAACAUCCUGGCCACAUUUGCCCAUUGGCCUCUGUCCAUCAUGGCCUCCUAAUCAUCACCAUACACUGAUUGGCUUCAUCACUCUGUCUCCUCUCCACCAAUAAGCUGGUGUGUGGUGGGCGUUCUGAGCGCUUAUUCCUGUUUAUGAUAUUCUUGUGUAUGACCCUGGACUGUUUACCUUGUGAUGAUACUUUGCUGCCUGCUUUGAUUACUGUGCUCUGUCUGCCUGGAUUACGUUUAUACUGUUUGCUGCCUGUCCUGAUCCACUGCCUCGUUAAUGAUUACGUCUCUGCUUUGCCCUUUUUGUACCUGACGCUGGUGAUUGACCCCUGCUUGUUUGUUCUACAUCUGUCAAUAAAGCUGCACAUGGAUCCUAA